rnacentral:lncRNA from 1 species
UUAAUGCACAUUUUACAUUUUACAUUUUAGUCAUUUAGCAGACGCUCUUAUCCAGAGCGACUUACAGUAGUGAAUGCAUACAUUACAUAGAUUUAUUGGCUCUCUUGUUGAAAAACGCCCCGAAGAUUUAUGUUAUACAACGUUUGACAUGUUUGAACGAACCUAAAUGGGAAAAAAAUGCAUUUUCUCGAAAUGGCUGUCCCGUGGCCGACGGAAGUUUUGGAGCAGCCUUCAGACGCGCUAACAAGAACAAGCUCUUGGAACAUAAAGGAGUAUUUUUUUCGAACGAAAAUACAUUUGUUGUGGACCUGGGAUUCCUGGAAGUGCUUUCUGAUGAAGACAACCAAAGAUACAGAGAGCUGUGAAAGCCUGUAUGCAGAUGAGGUCCCAAAACAAUUGCUGACAAUUGCCAUGUAGGGCACUGCCUCGUGGGGGAAUUCAAGUAUGUGUGAAAGCUAUCUGUGUCCUGCAUAACUUCAUGAUAGACAUGAGGACCAGGAGGGGACCUGCAGCUCGCCACCAUCUGCCAUAGGAGAGGUCUGCUGCUCUGCAGGAUGUUCCAAAGAUCGGGGCCAACAACACAGCUCGGGAGACAAUCCGUAUGCAGGAGAUCUUCACCUCCUACUUCUUCUAAGAGGGUGCUGUUCCCUGGCAACACCAUAGACUACACUAUGCACAACUCUUUUAAGAGCCAUCCACAUUGCAAUAAGAGUAUUCUUCCAUUUCCAAGCUAUGUCAACUACAGUUAUUCAAUUUCCAGUUUCUCUCCCUUUGAUUUCUACUUCUCAGGUGAGGGUGCUGUUCAGAAUAAGGGGGAUGUCUAUACAAAAACAACAGGCGCUUAAGAGUCACCCAUAUUGAAUGUAGAACAACUAGACACCCUACAACCCAAACCUACAGUACACACUCGUGUAUCAAUCUUAUUGAUGGAUUGUGUUGUGCAGUAAGUAGGCUCCCCUGUAUAACUGUGGCUCCUUCCACCUUCAAAGAAUAGGCAAGAGGACCAACCAUGGAGAAUAAUAAGACACUCAAUUAUUUAUAUUUAUGCAUCAACGCUAUUUGUUUGUCCUUGUGUGCCUCGUCUGUUUUUCAGUAUAAAGUACUCUGCAGCCACUCCGUGUGGGACACCAGGUUAUAUCAGCUGUGUCGGUGAACCCCUCCAGCUUGUGAACUGCCUGACACAGAGGGCACAGCAUGAUCAGAGGUGAAAGGUCACUUGGUCAGGUCAACAGGAAGUAUUAUUAAAGAGAUGUUUACAUUGAAAUACAGAUAGAGAUGUAGUAGUCCCAGAGUUAAUGAUCCAAGGUCAGUUUUGCAUUCAAUUCCUGAUGAUUAUGAUGACUGACAGUGUUGGGAUUAAAAUAACACAAGGCUUAAUCAUGCUCUUUCUCUCAUUUGCAGGUACUGUAUGUUUUGAUGUGAGAGAGGAUGCCAACUCCCAGUCCUGUCAUUGCCACCUCACGGGCCUACUGGGUGCCCAAGGCUGGUUAGGAAACACCGCUAGACACUUAUGUAAUUGUGUUGACCUGAGAGAAUAUGAAGUUUAGUAGCACUAUAAUUCAUUCAUCAUAUGCUAUCUUCCCUGCUCCUCAGUUCUUAACUCUUCCCCUUUGUCUUUUACACUCUCACACCUCUCUCCCAAACUUCUUUCUUCCUGUGUUUUUAUAAUUCAUACCAGAUGUGCAUUGAAGUACAGAUUGAACUUGUAUUUAUAUCAUAUUACAAUUAUAAUGUAUUAUGCAUGUACUUAUUUAUA